rnacentral:rRNA from 1 species
GCGAUGGCUGGGCGCAGCCUGAUCCAGCAAUGCCGCGUGAGUGAAGAAGGCCUUCGGGUUGUAAAGCUCUUUCAGUUGAGAAGAAAAAUACGCGAAUAAUACUCGCGUUUCAUGACGGUAUCAACAGAAGAAGCACCGGCUAACUACGUGCCAGCAGCCGCGGUAAUU